rnacentral:rRNA from 1 species
CUACGGGAUGCAGCAGUGAGGAAUAUUGCACAAUGGGGGGAACCCUGAUGCAGCAACGCCGCGUGGAGGAUGACGCAUUUCGGUGUGUAAACUCCUUUUAUAUGUCAAGAAAAUGACGGUAGCAUAUGAAUAAGCACCGGCUAACUCCGUGCCAGCAGCCGCGGUAAUACGGAGGGUGCAAGCGUUACUCGGAAUCACUGGGCGUAAAGGACGCGUAGGCGGGUUGGAAAGUCAGGUGUGAAAUCCUACAGCUUAACUGUAGAACUGCACUUGAAACUUCUAAUCUAGAGUAUGGGAGAGGGGGAUGGAAUUAGUGGUGUAGGGGUAAAAUCCGUAGAUAUCACUAGGAAUACCUAAAGCGAAGGCGAUCCCCUGGAACAUUACUGACGCUAAGGCGUGAAAGCGUGGGGAGCAAACAGGAUUAGAUACCCCAGUAGUC